rnacentral:rRNA from 1 species
UACGGAGGGUGCGAGCGUUGUCCGGAAUCAUUGGGCGUAAAGCGCGUGUAGGCGGCUCGAUAAGUCUGCUGUGAAAGUCAAAGGCUCAACCUUUGAAAGCCGGUGGAUACUGUGGGACUAGAGUACGGAAGAGGCGAGUGGAAUUCCUGGUGUAGCGGUGGAAUGCGCAGAUAUCAGGAGGAACACCAAUAGCGAAGGCAGCUCGCUGGGACGUUACUGACACUGAGGCGCGAAAGCGUGGGGAGCGAACAGG